rfam:Pristionchus pacificus strain PS312 contig3519, whole genome shotgun sequence.
UCUUCAUAUUCCACACUCUCUCACCGGUCAGAGAAGCGAGAGAGUGUACGAAAUGAAGAAA